AGGCUGAGUCGUUCCAACAUGGCGCAGAUGCCACAAGGACACUAGCACACCAGCAGGAAGCUGAACAGAAGGCUGGAGGUGCCACGGUGACAAGGACGGGAUCCUGUCAGGCCAGAUGGACUCACCCUGUCACCCAGGUUGGACUGCACUGGCCUCAACCUCCUGAGUUCAAGUGAUCGUCCCACCUCAGCCUCCCCAGUAGCUGGGACCAUAGCUGUGCAGCAUCAUGCCUGGCUAAUUUUUUAAGUUUUUUGUUGAGAUGGUGGUCUCGCCCUGUUGCUCAGGCUGGCCUCAAACUCCUGGGCUGAAGCAGUCCUCCCACCUCAGCCUCCCAAAGUGCUUGGAUUAGAGGCGUGAGCCACCAUUCCUGGCUCCUUGGACAAUAUUUUAUUCCUCAGAUUAAGACACGUCCUUGGGAUGGGGCUGCAUUGGAUAAUUCACCGAAGGCACCGCUGAAUGGAGUGGGCCCUCAGUAAAUACCUGGAGGAAUGUGACCUGGCCAGUGAGGUUAUUUUCUUUUGUAGGUGAAAGGUGUAGCAGUCACUCGGCCUACACCCACAGCAUCGACCUUGUGAACCCAGCGACCUGACUGCCUUGGGAGAAUUGAAGCGAAUGAGAGUGG
rnacentral:lncRNA from 1 species